CACGCAUCGCACAUCCAUAUCACGGCUUCUUACGUAGAAACCAAAAACAAACAGCACCAACAAUCGAAACUUUUGCAUCUUUUCAGUGCUUGUGCAUAUCGAGGUACGAACGUCUGCGAUGAGAUUGCUAGCCGGAAAAUGGUUUCCGCAUUGGCCGCCAUCAGCCCAUGAAGACGAACCGUGUGGAGCAAGAUCUACCCAUUAUCUGCCCAUCAUCGUCAGGAUUAAAU
rnacentral:lncRNA from 1 species